rnacentral:rRNA from 1 species
CAAGUCGAGUGCGCGGUUGUAGCAAUACAACUGGCGCACGGCGCACGGGUGCGUAACACGUGGGUAACCUGCCCUUUGGUGGGGAAUAACUCCGCGAAAGCGGAGCUAAUUCCGCAUAAGAUCCGCAAGGAUGAAAGCCGCAAGGCGCCGAAGGAGGGGCCCGCGCCCGAUUAGCUAGUUGGUGAGGUAAUGGCUCACCAAGGCUUUGAUCGGUAGCUGGUCUGAGAGGAUGAUCAGCCACACUGGAACUGAGACACGGUCCAGACUCCUACGGGAGGCAGCAGUGGGGAAUCUUGCACAAUGGGCGAAAGCCUGAUGCAGCGACGCCGCGUGGGGGAUGAAGCAUUUCGGUGUGUAAACCCCUUUCGAUCCGGACGAAACCCCGCAAGGGAUUGACGGUACGGAUAUAAGAAGCCCCGGCUAACUACGUGCCAGCAGCCGCGGUAAGACGUAGGGGGCCAGCGUUGUUCGGAAUUACUGGGUGUAAAGGGUUCGUAGGCGGUGCGGCAAGUUGGGAGUGAAAUCUCUGGGCUUAACCCAGAGGCUGCUUCCAAAACUGCUGUGCUUGAGUGUGGGAGAGGCGCGUGGAAUUGCAGGUGUAGCGGUGAAAUGCGUANAUAUCUGCAGGAACACCUGUGGCGAAAGCGGCGCGCUGGACCACUACUGACGCUGAGGAACGAAAGCUAGGGGAGCAAACAGGAUUAGAUACCCUGGUAGUCCUAGCCCUAAACGAUCAGGACUUGGGGUGCCACCCGUUCGGGUGUCGUCCCGGAGCUAACGCGUUAAGUCCUGCACCUGGGGA